UACGAAGGGGGGCUAGCGUUGUCCGGAAUUACUGGGCGUAAAGGGCUCGUAGGCGGCCAACUAAGUCAUACGUGAAAUCCCUCGGCUUAACCGGGGAACUGCGUCUGAUACUGGAUGGCUUGAGUUCGGGAGAGGGAUGCGGAAUUCCAGGUGUAGCGGUGAAAAUGCGUAGAUAUCUGGAGGAACACCGGUGGCGAAGGCGGCAUCCUGGACCGAUACUGACGCUGAUGAGCGAAAAGCCAGGGGGAGCAAACGGG
rnacentral:rRNA from 1 species